UACGGAGGGUGCAAGCGUUUAUCCGGAUUCACUGGGUUUAAAGGGUGCGUAGGUGGGCAGGUAAGUCAGUGGUGAAAUCUCCGAGCUUAACUCGGAAACUGCCGUUGAUACUAUUUGUCUUGAAUAUUGUGGAGGUAAGCGGAAUAAUGUCAUGUAGCGGUGAAAUGCUUAGAUAUGACAUAGAACACCAAUUGCGAAGGCAGCUUCUACACAACGAUUGACGCUGAGGCACGAAAGCGUGGGGAUCAAACAGG
rnacentral:rRNA from 1 species